CGAAACUUGCCCUUUUCGCGAUCACACAACCUGCUUUCGUGCUUAAGGGGAGUAAAGAGAGGACAUCCUCUGGAAUAGUGAAAAAGGAUUCGAUUUUAUAGUAACUUUCGAACAAGGAUAGCGCUAAAUUGAUGUCGCAACAAACCUCGUUCGACAACACCACCCGUGAAUUAGCCCAAAGGUGUUUCAAGUUCUAUGCGAGGAAGAAUAUUUAACAAACAAUGGACUCGUUUCACAGAAUGAUACAACGAUAUAGAAACUAUUCCCCCAACAAAUAUAAGAGUAUGUAAACAGGGCAUCGUUUUUUUUUUCAACUUUGAUCUCAUUGAUAGUGUCAUUGGGGUGGUUUUUUUUUUCAACUUGGCCACCCUUAAACCCAAAGCGAACAUGUUAAAGACGGGAAUGGGGAAAUUUUCAAAUGAGUGGAACAAAAUCCUAAAAUUUGUGUCCACGAUGAAAAGUGAUUGUCAGCCAAGAUGAUCUCCACGUCUAUAUUUGCAUUUGGAGGGCAAUGAAUGAAAGCUAAUUUCCAUUGAAUACGAGUGUAGUAGGCGAGAGCAUCCCCAAUCCUUGGUUAGCCGGCCACCCUCCCGGAAAAAAAAUCCAUUGGUCUGUGAUUUUUGUCGGCAAGGCAAAGCUCUCAAGCCCAAAGAGAUCUCGAACCAUCAGUCUUUGUUCAUCAUUGAGUGUCACCUUGUGGCGGGAUCGAUUGGAAAAAGCGUCAGUUACCACAAUCCAAGCCAACCACCAACCACCAACCACCCCCGGUUCCCCCGGUUCUUGACACAUGAUUGUGGACGGGAAACGAACGCACUCACUCUUCAAGGCUUGGACCAAGGGGGUCGGGAAGGGAAGCACCCGGCGAAAUCAUUACCGAUAUGGAACACGGGCUGCGAAAGAUGACACCACAAUUUUGGUCCAUAUCUCAUAUGGCAUGGUACAUGGCCACCCAUUUACAGCCAGCAGAGAGGCGGAGUGGUUGUGGUUAUUUUUUGUACAGAUGAGAGCUCGUAUCUCUACUUUACCACAUAGCAUGUGUAAAGGGGGCUGAAAUGAGAAAGAAGGAGAGAGAGAGAGAGAGACGGAAAAACCCAUGCAGAUCCACGGCCAACAGAUGGUGACAAUGGGUCUCUUGCUCUUUUCGUUCUCUUGUUCUCUUGCUCGGAGAUGGAACAUUGGGAUAACACACGAACCAACCACCCAACUAUCGGGGACCGCCAAUGAGGUUGGGAACACGGGAAAAUCAUUUUUCUAAGUGGGAGGGAGGGGCAAAACAUGAGAGGAAUGAUGAUUCUACGACUCUGGAAGACAGCCCUAGAAACACACCCCCAACUCGUCUGAAGGAUCUAUGAAAAGUUUCAAUCCUCCAAAUGAGGUUUUCCUGGUGCCCGCCCGAUAUGAGAGUGGAAAAUGUGGUGGCGAUCUAGUAUUAGGGUUCAACUUAAACUCUUUAUGACAUAUGUCAGCCAAUGAAUACCGUUCUUGCUUCGCUUGAUGACAAGAUCUCAUGAACCUAACUCCGUUGAUUCCAUCUAAAACAAGACAUAGGUACUGCAUGAACGAGUCCCCAUUUGAUUGGUGAAAACCAACAACCAGCCUGCAACUCAACUGGUCCAACAUCAGAGAAGCUUCUAACAAGAUCUCCUGUCAACGUAAACUUGUCAAGACAAAGUGAGACCCAUUUUCAGCUUACCUGACCAACUCAGACGA